ACGAACGCUGGCGGCGUGCCUAACACAUGCAAGUCGAACGGAGAUGUUUAUUUCGGUAGACAUCUUAGUGGCGCACGGGUGAGUAACGCGUGAAUAACCUGACCCGAAGAGGGGGAUAACACCUGGAAACAAGUGCUAAUACCGCAUAAGACCACGGACCGGCAUCGGUCAGAGGUCAAAGGAGGAAUCCGCUUUGGGAGGGGUUCGCGUCCCAUUAGGUAGUUGGUGAGGUAACGGCCCACCAAGCCGACGAUGGGUAGCCGAGCUGAGAGGCUGAUCGGCCACACUGGAACUGAGACACGGUCCAGACUCCUACGGGAGGCAGCAGUGGGGAAUAUUGGGCAAUGGGCGCAAGCCUGACCCAGCAACGCCGCGUGAGGGAAGAAGGUUUUCGGAUUGUAAACCUCUGUCGCAGGGGACGAAGGAAGUGACGGUACCCUGUAAGAAAGCCCCGGCUAACUACGUGCCAGCAGCCGCGGUAAUACGUAGGGGGCGAGCGUUGUCCGGAAUUACUGGGCGUAAAGGGAGCGUAGGCGGUCGAUUAAGUUAGAUGUGAAACCCCCGGGCUUAACUUGGGGACUGCAUCUAAUACUGGUUGACUUAGAGUACAGGAGAGGGAAGCGGAAUUCCUAGUGUAGCGGUGAAAUGCGUAGAUAUUAGGAGGAACACCAGUGGCGAAGGCGGCUUUCUGGACUGACACUGACGCUGAGGCUCGAAAGCGUGGGGAGCAAACAGGAUUAGAUACCCUGGUAGUCCACGCUGUAAACGAUGAAUACUAGGUGUAGGGGGUAUCAACUCCCUCUGUGCCGCAGCAAACGCAAUAAGUAUUCCGCCUGGGGAGUACGGCCGCAAGGUUGAAACUCAAAGGAAUUGACGGGGGCCCGCACAAGCAGCGGAGCAUGUGGUUUAAUUCGACGCAACGCGAAGAACCUUACCAAGGCUUGACAUCUACUUAAAGUCAUGGAAACAUGAUGUCUCUUCGGAGGAAGUAAGACAGGUGGUGCAUGGUUGUCGUCAGCUCGUGUCGUGAGAUGUUGGGUUAAGUCCCGCAACGAGCGCAACCCUUACUGUCAGUUACUACGCAAGAGGACUCUGGCAGGACUGCCGUUGACAAAACGGAGGAAGGUGGGGAUGACGUCAAAUCAUCAUGCCCCUUAUGUCUUGGGCUACACACGUGCUACAAUGGCGUAAACAAAGGGAAGCAAGCCUGCGAGGGUAAGCAAAUCUCAAAAAUAACGUCUCAGUUCGGAUUGUAGUCUGCAACUCGCCUUCAUGAAGCCGGAAUUGCUAGUAAUGGCAGGUCAGCAUACUGCCGUGAAUACGUUCCCGGGCCUUGUACACACCGCCCGUCACACCAUGAGAGUUGGGGAUACCCGAAGCCUGUGAGCCAACAGUUAAAUGAGGCAGCAGUCGAAGGUAGAAUCAAUGAUUGGGGUG
rnacentral:rRNA from 1 species